rnacentral:rRNA from 1 species
AACAAACGCUGGCGGCGUGCCUAAUACAUGCAAGUCGAACGGGGAAAGUAGCAAUAUGAGUACUAGUGGCGCACGGGUGAGUAACGCGUGGAUAAUCUGCCUUGAAGAGGGGGAUAACUAGUCGAAAGAUUAGCUAAUACCGCAUAAGACCACAAGAACUGAGGUUCAAGGGGUCAAAGGUUUUUCGCUUCAAGAUGAGUCCGCGUAAGAUUAGCUAGUUGGUGAGGUAAUGGCUCACCAAGGCAACGAUCUUUAACUGGUCUGAGAGGAUGAUCAGUCACACUGGAACUGAGACACGGUCCAGACUCCUACGGGAGGCAGCAGUAGGGAAUAUUGCACAAUGGAGGAAACUCUGAUGCAGCGACGCCGCGUGAGUGAUGAAGGCCUUCGGGUCGUAAAGCUCUGUCGCAGGGGGAUAACACAAUGAAUGUACCCUGUAAGAAAGGAUCGGCUAACUUCGUG